rnacentral:rRNA from 1 species
UACGAGGGGGGCAAAUGUUGUUCGGAAUUACUGGGCGUAAAGCGCACGUAGGCGGCUUUGUAAGUUAGAGGUGAAAGCCCGGGGCUCAACUCCGGAACUGCCUUUAAGACUGCAUCGCUUGAAUCCAGGAGAGGUGAGUGGAAUUCCGAGUGUAGAGGUGAAAUUCGUAGAUAUUCGGAAGAACACCAGUGGCGAAGGCGGCUCACUGGACUGGUAUUGACGCUGAGGUGCGAAAGCGUGGGGAGCAAACAGG